rnacentral:miRNA from 1 species
UCUGCUGACGGACUCGAACCCGUAGAUCCGAACUUGUGUUACCUGACUGGAAGCCACAAGCUCGGAUCUACAGGUCUGCGUCCGCGCAGCCCCUC